rnacentral:rRNA from 1 species
AGGACGAACGCUGGCGGCGUGCUUAACACAUGCAAGUGGAGCGACGAACCAGGCUUCGGCCUGGGGCAGAGCCGUGAACGGGUGAGUAACACGUGGGUAACCUGCCUCGAUGACCGGGACAACCCGAGGAAACCCGGGCUAAUACCGGAUGUGCUCCUUCACAUCAGUGAAGACAGGAAAGGAAGCUUCGGCCUCCGCAUCGAGAUGGGCCCGCGGCCCAUUAGCUUGUUGGUGAGGUAACGGCUCACCAAGGCUGCGAUGGGUAGCUGGUCUGAGAGGACGAUCAGCCACACUGGGACUGAGACACGGCCCAGACUCCUACGGGAGCAGCAGUGGGGAAUCUUGCGCAAUGCGCGAAAGCGUAGACGCAGCAACGCCGCGUGGGGGAAGACGGC